CAUCCUGUCCUGUCCUGCCAGGGCCCCAAGGUGAGAUACAAGCCCACGUGUCCACCCAUACCCGCUGCUGCCAAGUCCCUGCCUUCUCCUUGUCCCCCGUCACAAAGAGCUGUGGAUGAAUGAAGCCAGCGAGGGUGUUGCGAAACCGGGAAAUCCACUGCUUUUAGGGAAUGGCUUAUCUGGAAACUGCCUCAUGCGCUGGAGAAGCCUGGGUUCAUGGCAGAAGCAUGCUUUAGCGUUUGGAGGUGCUUGGGAAAAAGGGGGUCGGACGUAAAAGAACAGCAUCCCUGGGCAGUGGGACUGCAAGGCUUUCACCCGUGCUUUGGGGAGCACCCUGCGUCCUGCAGCGACAGCCACUGGAAUGGGACAUCAUUGCCAGGUGGGAGUCCAGAGCAAGAAAGGCAGCCGGAACAGCCAUGCUGGAGGUCUGUGGUCUCAGUGCCCGGCCAUGAUACAUAAGAAUGGAGCAGGGGAAUUGCAGGGAGUCUCCAGAGCCUCUCCUCUGCUUGCCACUGUCUGCAUUUGAGGAUGUCCUGGGUCUGACUUGGUGUCCCUGUAUUUAAGGGCCGUCCUCAGACUACACACGCACCUCUCUCCUGAGCCUCCUGCCCCAAGACCUGCCUGACCAUCAGCUCUGUGCCACCCAUAACCUGUCCUCUACAGCGUCGGCCACAUGUUGCCUUGGUGGGCACUUGGGCUGGCCAACGGCAACCAGAGCUUUGCUGCUCACCUGCCUGAGCACAUGCCUGUUAACACAUGUAAAGCAAACAGACCCUCUGCCCGAGGUGGGUUUUAUUUGAAAUGUUCCUCUGGUGAGGAUUAACUCCUGACACUGCUAUUAAUAUGGGAAAAGACUGCAUUUUUCUGGGAGAUGUUGGAUUUACCCAGGAACGUGACGCUUUCUCCUGCCUUGGAUCCCCCACAUCACUGACUGACCAUGUUGCAGUUCUUAUGCCUCGAUGAGACUUAUCCUGGAUUAUUAUUUAGCUGCCAAUUAAUCUUAAGAGUGAUGUAAAGGCUUUGAACUGCUGUUUGAAGAUUGAGUGGAUGAUUUCUGCUCUUGUCAAAGGAAGACGGAUUUGGAGAGUCAUCACAGUGCUGAGUGACAGCUCAGACAUCUCAUCGAUCGCUGCUGCUGAUGGCCACGUGGCAUCUGGUGGAGCUGUGACGCCAAGCUCCCAACCGCUCGCACUUCCCCAGCUGGGGAUAUUUUGCAGACAAGCGGUGCUGCUCCCCAAAAUCUCCAGCCAAAAACCAGGAAGAAACUGCAUACCCCUCGGGAUUGAAUCCCACAGAAGAUGCUCUUUUCUGCAUGCAGGUCUCUUGUUCCUGCCCACAGGGCACGCAGUGAAUUAUGGUUAGCCCUUGAGAACCUGCAUCAUCUUUUAAAAAUACAUUUUUUGACUUCUCUGCGCUUGCCAGGACCAAGGGUGGGUCCAUAGAGGGCUGGUGGGUUUGUCCGCUGCUGCACUGAUUUAGCAAAGGGUGGGGAUGAAAGCCCUGAAGCCUCCAGCUGAGGCUGCAGAGAUUUUUUUGGCUUGAGUUUCCUCAAAUUCUGUCCAUCACAAAGUGAACAAACACUAUUGGCUAGGAGCAGCUUAAAGCUGGAGGCAGGUGGCAAAGGGGUUGAGCAUCGAUUGCUGGCUGCUGGGCAAGACCCGACCAAAACCCCACCGGUGUCAGGAGGCAACUCCAUCCCUCACAGCUUCCGAAUAUCGGGCUGGGAAGAAAAACCAACCUGCUUGGAAAGCAAUCGUUUGACAUCAUGCCAUUAGACUUCAGACACCCAUCACCGCCAGUAACAACCCCGAGCAGGCAGCCUGGUGAACCUCAGCGUGUUUUGGCUUUAAUCUGACCUGGGUUUGUGAUGCUCUGAAGACGGCGUCGUCCAUCACUGCCUGGGGAGGUGGAGAAGGGGAGGGGAGGUGAAACUCCUCUCCCUCACCCUCCACUGCUCCCCUCGCCACUGCUUUAUCUCUUCAGAAGCUGGAUUUGAGUACAAUUCACUUUGUUAUUAAUUUCUUUUACACAGAGGCUUUUAAAGUGCCUGGGAGUGGGGGCUCGUGUCAUGGAGACGCUUUACAGCCCAGCAGCUGUAAUACUUAAGUGCUGUUUAAAUAGCCAGCUCAUCUAAAAGUAAUAGGCAAAGAUGUGAGAGCUUGCCAGAGCAGCAAAGUGGUGUGGGCCUGUUUGAACAGGCCAUAUGGAGGUGAUUUUGGAGAGCAGGGCUUCUUCCACAGCAGCUGCCUGGGUCGCAUCAGGGAUGGGAUCACAUCACCCUUGCACCGCCUUGGAGCUCUGCUGCCCCGGGGACUCGGUGCACCCCGGCGAUGGUCCAGCUCGCUGACACGGGCAGAUCACGCCUGGGUGGCUGUGGCCCACGGGUGUCCUUUCACCAGAUGACCUGUCUUGGUGCAACUAGGUUCCUCAAUGCUCCUGCCUGCUGGAGGAGCAGUCUGCACCCCUGUGGUGGUCCUUCCUUGGCUGUGUGGGUCCCCCGUGCCGGCAAUCCCCAGGGGAGCCCCCACACAAUGUGGAAGCCACGAGGCUGCAUUCUGAGCUGGAGGAAGGCCAGCGGAGGGGCCACAGCCUGGGAAGCCCCUGGGUGGGGAUGCUGAGGGUAUCCCGAGGUGCCACUGUCCCCCUACCCUGGUCCAUCCUGCCAUGGCAUGUGGUGGCGCUGGGGAAACAGAUGCACUGGGACCCUUCACGUGGGUCUUAUUUGCUUUUAAUCUGGUAGCUAAAUUGUAUUCUUCCCAAAUGUAAUGAAUGAGAGGUUUAAUCAAACCCAGCCAGCCAGCACUGAUGGGAUCUUAGUGGCAGAAGAAAAUAUUGCAUUUUUGUUUGCUUAUCUCCCCUUAUGCUCCCUUGGAGAUGUCCUGGCUCUUGCAGGGGCUCCUCGUGCUCAGUGGCACUGGGGGGCGCAGGCUUUGCUCGGCUGCUAACUGGAGCACUGCACUGUAUGUGAGGCCACCGCGGCAGGACUGCUGCCAGCCCACCUGCUUCCAGCCCCUCUCCUUGGCCAAGUGUCCGGGUGGCAGCGGCGAGACCGGUCUCCUGUUACACCUCUCCUCAAGCCCUUUGUUCAGGAAGAGGGUCUCACUUGGUACCUCACAGAGGGUCCACCCAUCCCAGGAGCUGGUGUUGGGUUCAAGCCUUCCACCCCAGGUUUCCUAUCAUCCACAACAGCACCGGGAGCUGGUCUUACAGUAUCUCCAGGUCUUGGUGGUGGGGAAGCUGAGCACCUCCGCAGUCUGGAAACAAGCCAUGGGCAAGGGCGUGAGUGGGGAUAAAGCCACCAGGCUUCACUGACUCUGAAUUAGGGGGGCAAAGCACCCCCUGACAUCCAGCUGGUCAGUGCAACUGUGUGGGAUGCUGCAGCCGGGAACCAAGGGGAGACACUGCCUUUUCCCUGCUCGUCAGAGCUCUCGAAACCCACCGGCUCCCGGUGCGGGGCCGGCUGCUCCCAGCGAUGUGGCUCCACUGCUGCCUUUCUCCAGAGCCUUUCUCAGUCGAGGCUCUUCCAGAAAUAGAUUGCAUGCACCAAGCAGCUGGCUCUGCAAAUAGCUCACCUCCUGAAGCAGAGGAGGCAGCGCAGUUGGAGCCUUGUCCCCCAUGGCCCUUCCAUGCUCCUGAGCACCUCGGCACGAGCUCCAGCAUGCAGAGACCCUCCGCUUCCCCCAGGACACCUCUGCUGGCUGGGAAGAGGGGAUGUGCCGGGGUCCUUUGUGUCCAGGCAGUCGUGUCCCGGAUCGGGGGAUCCCCAGCUUUGCUGCAGGAGCUGGCCGACGGCUCUUUCAGUCGCAUGCAUCCCACCUCCCCGCAGAGAAGGAUGGCUGGUGGCUUCCAAGAGCAGGGCAGGUGGCCCAGAGGACACAGCACAUGGCCCUGCUGCCACAGCAGCGGGCACUGCUGUCUCCAGCUGCAGCACUCUGCCUUGUGUCCCUUCUUAUGUGUUUAUUAUGCCAUCGUAAAGGGGGGGAACGCAAUUUUUUUAUGUAGGCUUAACUGAUUUAUUAAUAGUCUGUAAUGCCAGUAAUAGCUCAUCUAUAAAUCUGUUCUUAAGAAUUUAUAGGGCAAAUAUUCCAGCGCCAUAUUAAAGACACAACUCAUAGAUGCCUGUAAGCACCAGCCUGGCGGCUUCGGCAGCAGGAGACGGUUAUCCUGGGGGAGGGAGAGGCGGUGAGAUCUCCCCAGUGGCUUCCACUCAGAGCCUUGAAAAUCUUUGGGAAGCAAGUUAUUUUAGGGACUGUCCCCUCCAGCCAGGAGGUGCCUGUGGCCUCCCGCUCGGUGCUGUGUGGGCACGGAGCCCAGGGAGGGUGUCAGCACCAUCCGGACGCCGAAGUGCUGCUCCCACCCCUGCGGGCUCCCGGCCCGCCCCCCCCAGCACCCUCCCUGGGGACCCCCGCAAUCUGCCAUCGCCUCGUCCCUGCCCCAGGGUGACAGUAUUUACUGCUGAAGUGCGCCGAGUGUAAUUGCUAAUCAGAUACAGGCAAUCAAUUCAUCCCCCCACUGCUGCCUCGGAGAGGGGCUGCCUUUCCCUGCUGAAGGUGACUCCUGCAGGAAUUCAGAUUUAAAGAUAAAGGCCAUAAUCAUCAGAAGUUCAUUAAAUUAGCAUCAGGCUCAUUUGCACUCAGCAAGGGGAUGAGGUGGAGGGUGUCUCUGCCUGCCUCCCCUGCCCUCGGUCCUGGGGUGUCCGCAGGAGAUGCCUUCAGCGGGAUGAGGCUCUGAGCGCUGCCAGGAGCCCUCCCUGAUUUACUCCUCCCGUCCCAGGGCUGCUGCAGUCAUGAGUCAACAGUGCAGUAUAUUUAAACGCAAAAAUACCAUUAUCCUUCAUUAAAAGCUCUGUCAUCACCCAGCCUGCACAGGAAAGAGUUAUUACGGCAUUAUGCUCCCAGUGACACAUGGCUUCCCUGGCCCUCCAGCAUCCACGGUGGUGCACGCCGGCUGUGCCAGGUGCCCGUGGUGGGCCAGCUGUGUGUGGCUGGGGGCUCUGCUGUGUGAGGUAGCUGACAUCCAAUCU